UACGUAGGGCGCAAGCGUUGUCCGGAAUUAUUGGGCGUAAAGAGCUCGUAGGCGGUCUGUCACGUCUGCCGUGAAAACCCGAGGCUUAACCUCGGGCCUGCGGUGGAUACGGGCAGACUAGAGGUAGGUAGGGGAGAACGGAAUUCCCGGUGUAGCGGUGAAAUGCGCAGAUAUCGGGAGGAACACCGGUGGCGAAGGCGGAUCUCUGGACAGUUCCUGACGCUGAGGCGCGAAGGCCAGGGGAGCAAACGGG
rnacentral:rRNA from 1 species